rnacentral:rRNA from 1 species
GACGAACGCUGGCGGCGUGCCUAAUACAUGCCAGUAGAACGCACAGUUUAUACCGUAGCUUGCUACACCAUAGACUGUGAGUUGCGAACGGGUGAGUAACGCGUAGGUAACCUGCCUGGUAGCGGGGGAUAACUAUUGGAAACGAUAGCUAAUACCGCAUAAUAUUGAUUAUUGCAUGAUAAUUGAUUGAAAGAUGCUAUUGCAUCACUACCAGAUGGACCUGCGUUGUAUUAGCUAGUAGGUGAGGUAACGGCUCACCUAGGCGACGAUACAUAGCCGACCUGAGAGGGUGAUCGGCCACACUGGGACUGAGACACGGCCCAGACUCCUACGGGAGGCAGCAGUAGGGAAUCUUCGGGAAUGGACGAAAGUCUGACCGAGCAACGCCGCGUGAGUGAAGAAGGUUUUCGGAUCGUAAAGCUCUGUUGUAAGAGAAGAACGGGUGUGAGAGUGGAAAGUUCACACUGUGACGGUAUCUUACCAGAAAGGGACGGCUAACUACGUG